ensembl:lncRNA
GAAGCCUUCCCUGAGUUCCCCAAAAUGAACUUCUCAACAAAAAGGAGAGCCAUGGAAGAGGCGAGGAGAGAUAUGGCUCUCCAAGUCCUUGAAUCAUCAGUCUUUGAUGAGGAGACUUCUUCGAUGUGUGGAGCUGACAAGCCCCCUGGACAAGCACCUCCCGUUACAGACUGGUCAAAGGGCCAGAUGAGGCAAUCCGGAGAUACAAUAAAGUGCUGAAAACAUUCAGCCAUGUCCGCACCAUGACGGAGGCCUUCCGAAUCAACGGAGUGGACAGGGGCACCAUUAAGAUGACAGCCCCCAUUGCUGAGCUACAAAUUGUUGAUCCUGAC